GAGCACGUAGUUUAGUUUGGAAGAACGUUUGCCUGCGGAGCAAAAGGUCGAGGGUUCAAAUCCCUUCGUGCUCG
rnacentral:tRNA from 1 species